GUCCUAGCCGUAAACGGUGAGCACUAGGUGUAGGAAGUAUCGACCCUUCCUGUGCCGCAGCUAACGCAUUAAGUGCUCCGCCUGGGGAGUACGACCGCAAGGUUGAAACUCAAAGGAAUUGACGGGGGCCCCGCACAAGCGGUGGAGCAUGUGGUUUAAUUCGAUGCAACGCGAAGAACCUUACCCAGACUUGACAUGUAUCGGACAGGUGUGGAAACACACCCUCCCUUCGGGGCCGGUGCACAGGUGCUGCAUGGUUGUCGU
rnacentral:rRNA from 1 species